AACGCGAAGAACCUUACCUAGGCUUGAAAGGUCGUCUAAACAGGUGAAAGCCUGCUACCCGCAAGGGGGGCGAUACAGGUGCUGCAUGGCUGUCGUCAGCUCGUGUCGUGAGAUGUUGGGUUAAGUCCCGCAACGAGCGCAACCCUUAUCUCCAGUUGCUACCAUUUAGUUGAGCACUCUGGCGAAACCGCCUCGGAUAACGGGGAGGAAGGUGGGGAUGACGUCAAGUCCUCAUGGCCUUUAUGUCCAGGGCUACACACGUGCUACAAUGGCCGGUACAAACCGUCGCAAACCCGCGAGGGGGAGCUAAUCGGAAAAAGCCGGACCUCAGUUCGGAUCGCAGUCUGCAACUCGACUGCGUGAAGCUGGAAUCGCUAGUAAUCGCGGAUCAGAACGCCGCGGUGAAUACGUUCCCGGGCCUUGUACACACCGAUACUC
rnacentral:rRNA from 1 species